UCAUUAGAUACCCAGGUAGUCCACGCCGUAAACGAUGAUUACUAGGUGUCGGUGGGUAUGGACCCAUCGGUGCCGCAGCCAACGCAGUAAGUAAUCCACCUGGGGAGUACGUUCGCAAGAAUGAAACUCAAAGGAAUUGACGGGGACCCGCACAAGCGGUGGAGCAUGUGGUUUAAUGUGAAGUCGUAACAAGGUAUC
rnacentral:rRNA from 1 species